CUUUUGCAGCCAACUUCACUUCUGUCACUUUUUCGAAAAACGUGGAGCGAGUUCGUUCCCAAAAUUAGACAGAACUGAAAAUGUGAUGCAGACGUCUCGGUGUGCUGUGUCUAUGUACCGGCAAUAUGUGAAAUAAAACAAAAUGGAGGGUCUUUCCCGAACACGUGUCUCAGGAAAAUGUACUUCUCUGAAGGGAUAAAACAUUGGAGAUGUCAACUUGUAUUGCUUCUUGGAACAAUAUUAAAAAAAAGUUCAAGCAAGUAAACUCGCGAGAUGAUUAAAAAAAAUCCCAUAAAUUGAUCAAAUAAGAUCUCUUGAGGAUUUAACUGGGAAUGACAUGUUUCGAUGAACUUAUUAAAAGAAAAGGGGUUCGAAAUAUAGAGGAAACCGAAUAUCGUGCCUUAUCCGAUUGGACAUUCUAAGAUAUGACCUGGAAGUCUCAAGCCGCAGCUUUACUUCAAUUCCCAAAACACUUUAAAUAAAAAUUACUUUUCAAAUGUUAAAAA